CUGAGGAAGGCUGCAGGGCUUUGAAAGAAUAUGGAUGGCAGGCUGAGUUUCAGUGGGGAUUAUGGAAGCAAAUGCUUUACAGAUUAAUCUUUCUCCAAGUCCCAAGCAUAUAGAUUUAGAGAUUUAGAAUAGAUGAGUCAGAACAGUUGAUCUAAAGCCCCUGCUCACAGAUGAAGUGUCUUAGUAUCAGAGGGAGUGAAUGAAUCUUUCAAAGUCACAAAGUAGACAAGGAAAUAGCUACAGACAAAGGAUAUAGUUUCAAUGUUGAAGUAUCUCAUUGGCAGAGACAGGAUUUUGUUCCCAUCUGAUGCCUAAGUUUUUUGGACCAUAUACAGACUGAUACUAAGCAAUUAAUGUCUGCCAAGAAUUCCCUCAGAGAAAGUAGUGAAGGAAGCAUCAGAAGAGGAAGUUAAAGGGAGAAAUCAUAAAACUCUGCAUGUGGUAUAUGUCACUUUGGAUCUGAAUACCAGUUUUUUCCCUGUCCAAGAGAAUAAGGAAUGCAAUCUUCUGAAGAUAUCCUGUGCAUUCUCUACCUUUUUCAGAUUAUAACUGGAGUCUUUGUGACUCCCAGAUUCUCAUGUGUCGUACAAUCCAUUCAAAAGGAUGAAAAAGGCUUAUUUCAGCCCAAGAUCUCAGAAUAGACAUGCUAAGCCUAGAGCCAUUGAAUUUUUAAGUUUCUUCAUAUAUAGGUCUUUCUGUCAAGAACAGCAACAACUUUAGUGACCUAUAGAAAAGAAGUAUUCUUCACUGAAUUUUGGUUGCAAUUACACAUUAUGGUCCCAUCUGUCAGAACAGGAAGAAAUCUCAAUCGUCACCAAGUUUAAUAAACUAAUAUACUUGGAAAAAAACAAUGACUGGAGAGUUUAAUUAAUUGCACAGGUCUGCAUAGAUAAUGAGUAUCUUACAGAAAUUGAAAAUUUUGUUUUUCUUCACUAGAAAGGCCACAGUCCUAUUCACUGCAUUUUGCUGCCAUCUGUUAUUUUAGAUAUAACUAUUAAUUUUUUUAUUUUUAUAUUUUAAAAAUAUUUUUCUUCAUAAUUUUUAUUUGAAUAUUAAAAUAUUAUCAGAUAUAUCCCAGUUUCUGCAGAAAUUUGUUAAAAGAAAUAAUGAUAGAUGGGGAUUGUAAGGGAAAAGGAGAGAGAA